rnacentral:rRNA from 1 species
UGGGGAAUAUUGGACAAUGGGCGAAAGCCUGAUCCAGCCAUGCCGCGUGUGUGAAGAAGGUCUUCGGAUUGUAAAGCUCUUUUAGUGAGGAAGAUAAUGACGGUACUCACAGAAGAAGUCCUGGCUAACUCCGUGCCAGCAGCCGCGGUAAUACGGAGAGGGCUAGCGUUAUUCGGAAUUAUUGGGCGUAAAGGGCGCGUAGGCUGAUUAAUAAGUUAAAAGUGAAAUCCCGAGGCUUAACCUUGGAAUUGCUUUUAAAACUAUUAAUCUAGAGAUUGAAAGAGGAUAGGGGAAUUCCUGAUGUAGAGGUAAAAUUCGUAAAUAUUAGGAGGAACACCAGUGGCGAAGGCGUCUAUCUGGUUCAAAUCUGACGCUGAGGCGCGAAGGCGUGGGGAGCAAACA